rnacentral:miRNA from 1 species
UUCCUCAUGUGUAAAAUGAGGGCAUUAAGACCUUCCUUCCUUGUAUUACUGCCCCCAUUUUAUAGAUGAGGAA